UUAUUUGAGAGUUUGAUCCUGGCUCAGGAUGAACGCUGGCGGCGUGCCUAACACAUGCAAGUUGAGCGAUUUACUUCGGUAAAGAACGGCGGACGGGUGAGUAACGCGUGGGUAACCUACCCUGUACACACGGAUAACAUACCGAAAGGUAUGCUAAUACGGGAUAAUAUAUUUGAGAGGCAUCUCUUGAAUAUCAAAGGUGAGCCAGUACAGGAUGGACCCGCGUCUGAUUAGCUAGUUGGUAAGGUAACGGCUUACCAAGGCGACGAUCAGUAGCCGACCUGAGAGGGUGAUCGGCCACAUUGGAACUGAGACACGGUCCAAACUCCUACGGGAGGCAG
rnacentral:rRNA from 1 species